CAGACCUCUAAUCGGAAAAGACUACCCGCUGAGUUUAAGCAUAUCAAUAAGCGGAAGGAA
rnacentral:rRNA from 2 species